rnacentral:lncRNA from 1 species
GCACUUGAAAAUUCAAAGCGUGUAAAGGAUGAUUUAUAAUAAUUAAAAUGGUAGAGAAAAUGGCUAUGUAUAUUUCUAUUUUCGUGUCAUUUCUAUUUGUCAAACAUGUCUAUUUAUUGUUCAUGCCACUUGAGAAAAAAUGUCUUUAGAAAAAUGAAAUACACUCCUGUAUAAUGAAACUUUAUAACGCUUGACAUUCGAAAU